UGCGUGACCUCAGCAUACAGCCUGGGAGGUAGGUCCUGCCACUGGCCAGGGGAACCCAUCCCCCAGGUUUCCUAAGCUAGAAUGAGGUAAAGGCAGGAUUCAAAUGUGAGUUUUUGCAAAACGCCAAAGCCUGGGCUCUUACUGUGGCACUAAUUAGCCACCACUCCACCCUAACAGUGAGGGUUCUGGUUGGAGAAGUGAAGUCCCUGUGUGUGGAGAAGUCCACCCUAAGAACCCUGAAGUCGUGCCUGUGGGCCCGGCAGGCCGCUGAGGGGCCUCUCAGCCCAGCCCAAGGCCACC